rnacentral:ncRNA from 1 species
GGACCAGGGGAUUCCGACUGUUUAACUAAAACAAAGCAUCGCGAAUUCCCGAGGUUGGUGUUGAUGCAAUUUGUUUUCUGCUCAGUGCUCUGAAUGUCAAAGUGAAGAAAUUCAAUGAAGUGAGGGUAAACGGCAGGAGUAACUAUGACUUUCUUAAACAGUCCUUAGCCCAGGACAUUCACCAGGUGCACGAGGAGGCC